rnacentral:sRNA from 23 species
GCGGGGAGUUUGUUAAAAGAAACUGGCAUGGUGAAUCCCCCUGAGCGGAGGGGCAUAUCAGCGCAGGUGUUUCUACUCUAUCCUUUCUGUGCGGGUUCAGGUGCUGAUACUGAACUCACCGGGAGGCACCCGGCACCAUGCAUAUGGUUAACAGACACGUAGCGAAGCCCCUCUCCGGAGGGGCUUUUUUUAUGGGC